AUGGGGCGGGCUGCUUUCUGGGGGGCCCCCUUGGGGGACGCUGUGAGGCGGAGGCCGCCCUCGCUCCGGAUCCCGAGGCUGCGCCCCAGGAGGCCGCGUCCCAGCGCCCAGGAGAGCGCGCCCGGGAGCGCCCAGGACGUGACCCCGCCUCCCCCGGGGCCCGCUGCGGCCCGACCCCGAGCCUUUGCCGAACCCCGCUUCGGGCUUUCCCGCGCCUGCGGGGGACCCCGCGAGGCCCCCAUCCCCCCCCCCCCCGCCCAGCGAGUCGGGUCCAGGCUCCGGGAGGCGCAGGGCCAGGCCCAGCCCGAGGCCCGGGACUCCGCGCUCACCGCUCGGCCCGGCUCCGCCCCGGAGGCCGCCCCCGCGCUGCUGAGCUCCGGGCGCCAAGGGGCAGUGUCUCCGCGCCCGGCCCGGGGGAGCAGGGUGGGGGGUCAUCGCCCCCCGCAGCCCCCCAGCAGGGUCGGGGUGUCACCCCCCGCGGCCCCGCAGCCCCCCAGCAGGGUCGGGGUGUCACCCCCCGCGGCCCCGCAGCCCCCCAGCAGGGUCGGGGUGUCACCCCCCCGCAGCCCCCAGCAGGGUCGGGGUGUCACCCCCCGCGGCCCCGCAGCCCCCCAGCAGGGUCGGGGUGUCACCCCCCGCGGCCCCGCAGCCCCCCAGCAGGGUCGGGGUGUCACCCCCCGCGGCCCCGCAGCCCCCCAGCAGGGUCGGGGUGUCACCCCCCGCGGCCCCGCAGCCCCCCAGCAGGGUCGGGGUGUCACCCCCCCGCAGCCCCCCAGCAGGGUCGGGGUGUCACCCCCCCGCAGCCCCCCAGCAGGGUCGGGGUGUCACCCCCCGCGGCCCCGCAGCCCCCCAGCAGGGUCGGGGUGUCACCCCCCGCGGCCCCGCAGCCCCCCAGCAGGGUCGGGGUGUCACCCCCCGCGGCCCCGCAGCCCCCCAGCAGGGUCGGGGUGUCACCCCCCGCGGCCCCGCAGCCCCCCAGCAGGGUCGGGGUGUCACCCCCCCGCAGCCCCCCAGCAGGGUCGGGGUGUCACCCCCCCGCGGCCCCGCAGCCCCCCAGCAGGGUCGGGGUGUCACUCCCCGCGGCCCCGCAGCCCCCCAGCAGGGUCGGGGUGUCACCCCCCGCGGCCCCGCAGCCCCCCAGCAGGGUCGGGGUGUCACCCCCCCGGCCCCGCAGCCCCCCAGCAGGGUCCGGCGGUCCAGGGAACCCGCGGGCGCUCACCUCGCGGCGGGCGGCGAAGGCGGGGCGCAGGGGCCGAGCCCCGGGCGGACCCACGGGCCGAGGGCCGGGCGCAGGCGGCGGAAGGCGCGCGCAGCCAUGGCGGGGCGGCGGGGCGGGCUCGGGCUCGGGCUCGGGCUCGGGCUCGGGGCGGGCUCGGCGCCGAGGGGCCUACGGGGCGGGCGGGCGGGAGCGCUGGGGCCUCGGCCGCGUCCCGGGCUUGGGGUUUCGCGCCGCGGCGGGCGCUCAGGGGCGGCCUCUGCGCGGCGGGGACGGGCGGGGGGGGGGGGGGGGGGGGGGGAGGGGGCGGGAAGCCCGAGGAGGCGGGAGCAGCCCCGGACCGAAGCUUCUUGGAAGGGGAUCCCGGUAGCCCCGUGGAGAGUCCUCAGCGGGGCGGGCGCGCAGGGAUCCAGGCCGACCUGCCCGAAGUGUGGCCUCGCUGCCUGGGGUCUAGCUUCGCAGGAACAGACGCUUGGUUUUCUCAAGAUGGUAAUUGGCCGGCCGGGUUACCUCCCAGUGUGGGGCAAUAA
rnacentral:lncRNA from 1 species